rnacentral:rRNA from 1 species
AUUGAACGCUGGCGGCAGGCCUAACACAUGCAAGUCGAGCGGAUGAAGGGAGCUUGCUCCUGGAUUCAGCGGCGGACGGGUGAGUAAUGCCUAGGAAUCUGCCUGGUAGUGGGGGAUAACGUCCGGAAACGGGCGCUAAUACCGCAUACGUCCUGAGGGAGAAAGUGGGGGAUCUUCGGACCUCACGCUAUCAGAUGAGCCUAGGUCGGAUUAGCUAGUUGGUGGGGUAAAGGCCUACCAAGGCGACGAUCCGUAACUGGUCUGAGAGGAUGAUCAGUCACACUGGAACUGAGACACGGUCCAGACUCCUACGGGAGGCAGCAGUGGGGAAUAUUGGACAAUGGGCGAAAGCCUGAUCCAGCAAUGCCGCGUGUGUGAAGAAGGUCUUCGGAUUGUAAAGCACUUUAAGUUGGGAGGAAGGGCAGUAAGUUAAUACCUUGCUGUUUUGACGUUACCAGCAGAAUAAGCACCGGCUAACUUCGUG